ensembl:lncRNA
CGAGCCCUCGCUGCCACGGACAAACCCUCUGUGCACCACACUCCACUGGGGCACCGCGAUUUGGGGGGAGGAUUUUUUAUUUUAAUUUUUUAAUAAUUUUUUUUCCCCCCCAAUUUCACUUGGAGCCCAGGAUGUGCUGCCCCUGAAUGCCAGGACUCGGCAAGCUUUUCUUCCUUUCUCCAUCUGAAUGUACCAGCAGGAAGAAACCAAGUGCCUGGGGAAGGGGAUGGGACCCUGGAGUCUCCUGGAUUUGUGCUCAGCAUGGAUCUCAAGGUGUGGAGCCCUGUGUGAUGCUCCGGGAGCUCAGAGCCCUCCUGGUGGAGUCACCCCAGGGUCAGGGUGAUGUGAAGAGGACAACCCACACCUCCCAGCCAAGGGCAGAGAUGGAUGACUGGGAUGAGCUCUCAGAGGGGGUUUGGACCCCUGGCUCAGAGUUUUGGGGAUGGCAGGGGCUGUACAAGGCCUGUGCUGCAGCACUAAGCAAUGAUUGGGUCACAGGGCUUGACCUGCAGGUCCACCCCAGGGCACAGGUGAAGGGUGGGAUAAGUGGGUGCUAAGGUUGAAUUUCACUUCUGAGCAUGGCCAGGAGCAGGAAUUGGAGGUGGAUCUCUUGGACAAUGGUCUUUGAAGGGUGAGCAAGUCCUUAAACAAGCUGGGUUUGUUGGUUCGAAUACCUAAAUUUUGUUGCUAGAGUCUAACGUGGAGGUAAAAUAGGACAUUAGGACUCUGAUGGCUCAUCAAUCCUGAAGGAAAUAAUUAUAGGAAAUCUGUAAAGAGCUGAGGAAAUCCUUCCUCAAAGCCUGAUGAACUGUCUGACUCCUUCCAUCUUAAACUGCUGAAAUCCUGAGUAUUUCUGAGGGCUCUGUUUGCUGUUAAUCUGUGGCAGGUAGCUUUAACAAUCCCUCUAAACUUCUCUGGUCCUCAUUUUUCUUGGCCUAACCUCUCCCCUGGAUCCUUGUGUUCCCUCUGGCUCUGCUCCUGAGCUGUUCCUGGCUCCUCACCUCUGGUGGGAAUGCUGUGAGUUGGUGUUACCUGGGCUCACCCAGGUGGUGUUACCUGGACAGAGCCAUCCUGUGCUAACACCUCUGAGCUUAGCAAACCCCUUUGCCACUGCUUUUACUGUUUUAGCAAUAACUUCAUGGCUUUUUAUUCCCCUGCAAAUAGCAUUUACCUCACUCCAUUUAUUUACAAGCUAUUCUAAGCUGAUGAUGUAGAAUUCCUCCACUUGGGAUGUUUUUUGUCUACCAGUGAUGGUAGAAACUCUUUACAGCCAAUUUCCUGCAAUAUCCAAUGGCCAAGGCUCUGAGAUUCUGGUUUCCUUUAAAAAGGAAAAACAAAAGAUAUAUUUUUGUUUAAAAUUUGAUUAUUUUCUUAGGAAAACAAAAUAUAUAUUUUUAUUAAAACUGAAAGGCUGCAUUUUAAAACAUUUGCAGUGUAACCUGCUGUAGUACCUGUUCUCAGAUCCAAAUCAAGAAAUUUGUGUUGUGUUCUUACCUUUCCCAAGAGCUCCUCACACGAUUUUGCUGGCCCAGGUUCUUUAUCUGUGCCUGGAUUUCUUGUAAACCUGGGGAAAUCACAUUUUCUGUGUGUAUCCCAUUAGCUCCUCUGUGCAGCCCUGAGCUAGAAGAAGGGACAGCUGUGAAUCACAGCCUUGAUAAAUAUUGAGCAGAUGAACAGAGGAGCAGAACUGGAAUCCCAGAUUUCAUAUCUGAAGGGCAGAAAAAGGAGAACUGGUGCUGCCUGAGGUUCAGUUCUCCUCCUUUCCAGUCACAAAUAUCCUCUGUGGCCAGGGCAUCCCAGGAAAUGAGAGAAGGGGAAGUGCUGGCUCCUCCAGCACUGCCAGAAUUCCUCUAAGGACACUUUUGGGUGCCCAUGAACUGGAGCAAUUACAAACUGUCAAUAAAAA